UCCACCCCAAAAGGAGUCAGUGCGUGUACCGUCUCAUGCGCAUUCUUGUUCAUUCUGGCUUCCUUGCUGCGCAAAGAGUCCAACAAGGUGAGCAAGAAGAGGGGUAUGUGCUUACAGAUGCCUCUAGGCUCCUUCUAAUGGAUGACUCCUUGAGCAUAAGGCCCUUCUUGCUUGCCAUGCUCGACCCAGUUUUAACUAAACCAUGGCAUUAUCUGAGUGCUUGGUUUCAAAAUGAUGAUCCCACUCCGUUCCACACUGCUCAUGAGCAGCCAUUUUGGGAUUAUGCCGGCCAUGAACCUCAGCUCAACAAUUUCUUCAAUGAAGCCAUGGCUAGCGAUUCUCGCUUAGUCAUCAGCGUGCUGCUUAAGGAGGGCAAGGGAUUAUUUGAGGGGUUGAACUCAUUGGUUGAUGUAGGGGGUGGCACCGGAAAAGUGGCCAAGGCCAUUGCUAACGCUUUCCCACAUUUGAACUGCACCGUGUUAGAUCUCCCCCACGUGGUUGCUGGCUUGCAAGAGAGCAAGAACUUGAACUACUUUGCAGGUGAUAUGUUUGAGGCAAUUCCUCCUGCAGAUGCAAUUUUACUCAAGGUAUACCCCAAUUUUCUCUUGUCAGUUACAUAACGUUGUCUGGAUCACAAAGAAUAAGAAAGAUUUUUUUAAAAUGUUAAAAAAAAAUCAUUCUACGUUGUCAGUCAGUCCGGGUUCAAAUAUGCUACAAGUUAUAUUUUAUAGGGGUUCGGCUGGAAAGGCUAACUGAAAUAAGGUCACACCAAUCACAAAAUACUAGGUGUCGUAUUCAUCAUGUGGCUCUUUCAUAGUUAGUUUUUAUCCAUGGACAUGAAUUGAAUUGGAUUUCUGGUGAAGCUUUCUCCAUCCGAACCUAAUUAAAAUGUAUUUAAGCGGAUAAAACUCCUAGGAAAUGAUAUAUAUACUUCCAUGUCUAACUGGAAUUCAAAUGACUAGUGGAUACUGCACGACUGGAGCGAUGAAGAAUGCGUGAAGAUACUAAAGCGAUGCAGGGAAGCGAUUCCGAGCAAGGAAAACGGAGGAAAGGUGAUUAUCAUAGACAUGAUCAUGAUGAAGAAUCAAGGAGACUACAAGUCCGUAGAAACACAGCUGUACUUUGAUAUGGUGAUGAUGAUUUUGGUCACGGGUAGAGAGAGGGAUGAGAACGAAUGGGAGAAGCUUUUCUUGGAUGCUGGUUUCAGUCACUACAAGAUAACUCCCAUUUUGGGUUUGAGGUCCCUCAUUGAGGUUUAUCCUUGAUGCUCUAUUUGUUUGUAGUAUGGCACAUUUAUGCGUAGUUAAUUCACAAAGUCUGCUAUAAUUAAGAUGGUUCUUGUUCUGUUUGAUUGGGCAGAAGUACUGUUCAUCUUUCUUCAUAUAAUCUGUGUUUGUUUUGGAGUAAUGAAUUAUUGUUUUCUGUAAUACUAAAUUCUAUAAGUUUAAAAUUUUAGAAAAAUUGGUUGUUUAAUAUGGUAUUAUAUCCUCUUUGAGAGAUCCUUUAUGUUUUUUCCUCAAUUUAUCAAAGAAAAAAAAAAGGAAAAAAAUUUACCUUUCCACUUUAUUAAACCCAUGUGUAAGUUCAAAGAAAGUUGACUCAUGAAAUGAUAGUAGAUUGAAAUACUUAAGGUUAUGUUUAGUUCUCUAAAAAUGUGAGGAAAAAUAUAAUGAAAAUAAAAUAGAAAGAAAAAGUGGAAGGAAAAAAAAUAAAAAUAGAUUUAAAAAUUUUAAAUUAUUUUAUAUGUUAUUUUAAAUUUAUUUAAUUUAUUUUUCUACUUCUGAAUAAAGAUUAAAUAAUUUAAAAAUAUGUAAAAUUUUAAUUAAUUUUAAUUAUAUUUAUUUAUUUUUUCUAUAUGGAGACCAAAUAUGAAAAAAAUUAAAAUUAUUUUUCUUAAUAUUUUUUUUGGUCUCCAUACUUUUUGUAUGUUUAAGUCAAUUUUUUUUUUAGUGAUAUAAAAAAGAUUUGUUAAACAUUAUUAAGAGAGAGAAAAGGUUAUCUCACCAAAAUAAACUCUGUGGUGAGAUAAUAGUGUUAUCUCACCAAAACAUUAUUAAGCAAAAGAAUUAUCAUUAAUAGGAAGAAUAUCGAUUCAUAAAAUAAACUCUAAAUAAAUAUCAAGAAAGGUUAUCUCACCAAAAUAAAAAGUAGGUAACAUCUUUAACAUGUCUAGAUUAACAUCCAAUAGGCCAAAUUAAUCAAUUAUAUUCCGAUUAAUAUCAAAUUUAUUCACAAGUGGGUUACUUUACUAAAAAAUCAGCAAAUGAUUAAAACAGAAAACUCUACAAAAUAAAUCUAAAAAUCUAGAAGUUAAGUUUUAUCAUGAAAUUUUCAGAGAACAUCUCCUAUAUGUCUAGUUUAUCAUCUAAGUGACCAAAUCAAUUAACUAGCCCUCAUUUAGUACUAGAUUUCAUAAUGAUGAUAAUAAGUCCAGAACAUGGCAUAUUUUUAAGGUAUUCAACAAUUGAUUUUUCUAAUUAACUUAAAGAUGUACUAAAAUCAUAAAAAAAAUUCAUACACUAGCUUAAUAUUUUAUUUUAUAUGAAAGAUAAUUACAGGAAAAUGUCACAUUCAUAACAUAUUUAAAAAUAAAUAAACAUCUCUUAGCUCCAAAAGAGCACUUGUGCAGCGGAUGUAAGAAGAAAAAAAAAUAUCUCUCAUUUUAGAAAUCAUUUAUUAAUAUUUUAUGUAUCACAAAUUAAAUUUAAGAAGCAUAUAUAUAUAUUAAGAGAAAAAUAUUCAAAGAAGUUAAAGUGAUCGUUUAUUAAUUUAAUUUUGCAAAACAAAACUGAGUGUAAAAAACAGAGUGAAAACUGAACCUUCUAAAAUAUUGAUUUAUAUCUUCUAAUUGAAAAAUCAUAUUUGAUCCAAGUAAGAUUCUAAAAUCAAGUUCAAGGAGUCUAGAAUGUCAUAGAAUAGUUAGAAAAAAUUUAAAGAUUGUCUAUUGUCAUAUUCAAAUUUAUGAAUGCAGAAGUACAGUGAACUAUCCACAAUUUCAAUGAAAAACUAUGUUUUGAAAAAAAACUUUGCAUGUAGGGAUCUACUAAGUCCCAUUUUAAUUUCCACGAAUUUAUUCAUAAAGACUCCAUUGAUUGGAGUUAUGAAAUUUAAUUCAUGUAUAUUCAAAACCAAAAUUCAUUUUAAAACCUUUUUUCAAAUAUUUGGUUGCAUGAAUUUUGGAAAAUUGACCUUUCUUUACCUAAUUGAUCUAAGAUUAAUUUUAAAAUGAAGUUAGAAGAUUAAUUUGGCUAUAUAGGAAAAGUUGAAAACAAUUUUAAAAAAUAUUAAAACACAUAGAAUCUCAAACACAAACUAUUAAGAAAAAGUGUAAGUGUGUAUAUGUAAAUUAUCUAGUGUGCCAAGGUGAAACUCAAGUGUCCUAAAUAUUAACCUAAGGUCCAGCUACAUUUAAAACUAAUUAUGUCUUAAUUUGGGUCUUAAAUUAUGAUACAAAAGUGUCCUAAGUGUGUCUAAUCAAGCCUAAACAAGUAAUCAUUAAUUGGUGUCAAACGUAUGUGAAUUGUGAUAGGUAAGCCGAAAACUUGCAUUAGUCAAAAAUGAAAAAUCAAGGAGGCAUGAAACCCAAUUAAUGCAUUUAUUCAAAGCCCAUUGUCAUGUAGUUUUCCAAUGGCUUAUUCAAAUAAAAGAGUUUGAAGAAAAGUUAACUCAAUCUCAAUUAUAAUUUAUCAAACAAUCAACAUUCAAUCAAACAAAUUUCUAAAUGUCAAAUCUAACAACACUCAUGUGUGGCCCGAUUUAUCCACACCCAACCUAUUCUAAUGUAUUCAAAAGAAACAAAUAAAGAAGAAGAUAUGGACAAAUUAAAUCAGAAUUAGGACAAUUAGAUAAUUCAUCUCAAGGUGUCCAAAAUUCAAUUAAUGCCUUGAUGUUCUCCAAGUUGUGUUUGACUUAUCUCUGCUAUGCAACUAGUAAAGUCUUCAUUUCUAUUGAAUUUCUAGCCAUCGAAAUCCCCUAUAUGUAGCCACUUAAACUUCGGCCACUAAUCAUACAUUAUAGCAUUAAUUCAUCGCAUGCAUUGUGGUCACUUUAAGCCAUUAAAUUUUCCAUGAUUCAGCUGCGCAAAGCUCCAUUAACGGCUGCAUAUUCAGCCAUUAAAAUCAGCCUUAAAUCUCCAUGUCCAACCUUAAAUUUUAGCCAAUUACAUAGCAAACCUCUACUUGAAUUUCAACCGUGAUUUUCAUUAAAAAUUCAGCAAAUAAUCAUUUGAAUUUCGGUCAUGAUCUUCAUUAAAAUUUCAGUAACUAUCCACUUGAAUUUCCAUAAUAUCCAACCACCAUAUUCAACAAAUGUAGCCAUUAAAAUCGAUCAUGCAGUAUAUCCACAUCCAAACCAUAGAAACAAUACCCAAAAAUGGCGAAAGAAAAUGAAGAACUACAUGAUAAUGAAGAAUAAUAGUGAAUCCAUUGCAAUCAUACUUGAGUGUGCUCUCCCCCUAAUGGAUUUUAAAUUUUGACCCCAUGGCUUCCACGUACAAAGAAAGAAAAACACAAACAAAAAAUAGACUAUAACCCAAGAGGGGCCAAGCAAGCAAACAAACUACUAAAUGAGGUCCCUCUUUAUGUUUUAAUCAAAUGGCCAGAAACAGGUAAAAGAAACAAUGGACAAAAGUGUGAUUCUUGUGCAUCAAGUUCAUGAUAAACAUUUUUGAUCUCCAUUAUCACCAACAAUACAAACAGAAAAUAUAUGUGUACCAAGCAUUCAAAUUAUGCCUUCCACUGUUGUCUAAGAACAUACCCGAGUCCAUUAUUUUCCGACGAUGAAUACAGUAUGGAUCUUCUAAGGUUGUGGAGGGCACCACCUUCUUUCUAAAUUCUCUCAGAUGAUGGGAGUCAAAGAGAGACAGGUUUGUUCUUAUUCCAAAACUAAUGUUAUCUAUUAAUGAACAGACAUACGAUAUGGAUUUAUACCCUCCUGCCUUAGGGACCAUACCCUUUGCCUAUUGGGCCUUACGAGUCUUAGAUCUAUCAUCUAAGGCCCGUGAAGGCUUUGGGUUCUACACAUAGGUGGCCCAUACUGUGAAAAACCGAUAUAAAAUAAAUAUCAAAGGCGAAUAGCUUAGUCAUGUACCAUUGCUAAAUAUGUGUGAGUCUAUAUCUUAACAAUCUCCCACUUAGACCACAUAUAUUACAAAACAAUGUUCAUGAUAGGACUUUAUUGAGCUCAUCUUACUAUUCUAUCUUAAUAUCUUUAAACAAUCCGGUCUACCAGUAUUGCUAAUGUAGGAUUAAAGCGGUCUUCGUUAAUCAUAAUUAUAACUAGACCCAUCAAUGAUCACAAUAUUAACAAAAUUAGCAACAUGGAUCAAGUAUGGAUGUGUAGCAUGGAAAUUACAUAGAAUGUGAUCUCUAAUAUGUCUAUUUCCAAUUGGUCCCACUUUAUGACUAAAAAAUAGUCAAAUUCCACUUUCAACACUUGAUGCUAAACUACUUCUAAAAGUCAUCAUUUCAAUUCAGAGUAUUCAAACACAAUAGUCUUUUAAAAUCAAGGUCUGUAUAGAUAACACAACAUGAUAUCACAUCAAGAAAACAAACACAAAAUCUAAAUACAAACUCCUACUAUACUGACACAUCAUCAAUGUGUACAACACCCAUAUAUGUGACAUGCUCAUGAUAUACUUUGGGUGGAAAACCCUUAGUGAGCGGAUCCCCAAUCAUGGAGUUUGUGCUUAUGUGUUCAAUCGAUACUUGAAGACUCUGAACUAUUUCUUUCACAACCAAGAACUUGAUGUCAAUGUGUUUGGACUUUGACGAACUUCGAUUGUUCUUAGAAUACAAUUUGUGGCCUUAUUAUCACAAUUGAUUCUCAAUGGUUUCUCAAUCCCAUCAAUAAUUCGCAAUUGAGUGAUAAAAUUCUGCAGCCAUAUCCCAUGGUUUGAUGCCUCAUAGCAAGCUAUGAAUUCUGCCUCCAUGGUGGAAGAGGCAAUAAGUGUUUGUUUAACACUUUUCCAUGAAACUGUUCCUCCAGCCAACAUGAAGAUGUAGCCUGAAGUGGAUCUCCUACUGUUAAGACAUCCCGUGAAAUCAGAGUUCGAAUAUCCCACGAUUUCCAAAUGACUGGAUCUGCUGUAUGUGAGCAUAUAGUCUUUAGUUCUUUGUAAAUACCGCAUAACCUGUUUUGCCUUUUUCUAGUGAUCCAUACUUGGGUUACUCAAAUAUCUGCCUAACAUUCCAACAAUGUACGCAAUAUUCGUACGCGUACAAACUUGUGCAUACAUGAGACUUCCUAUGGUCGAGGCAUAGGGAAACCUCUCCAUAUCCUUCUUCUCAAGUUCAUUUUUCGGACAUUGGUGCAAACUAAAUUUAUCGCCUUCUGCUAUAAGCGUGUCUCCUGGUGCACAAUUGCUCAUGCCAAAUCUAUUCAACACUUUAUCAAUGUAAGCCUUUUGUGAUAACCCAAGUAUACCUCUUGGACGAUCCCUAUAGAUCUGUAUACCCAACACAGAAGAUGCAUCACCAAGAUCUUUCAUAUCAAAUUUACUAGAUAGAAAUCAUUUGGUUUCAUGUAAAAGUCCCACAUCACUACUUGCAAGUAAAAUAUCAUCAACAUAUAGCACCAAGAUAAUGAAUUUGCUCCCACUGAACUUGAGGUUUAUGCAUUGAUCAACGGUGUUCUCCUUAAAACCAAAUGAAAUAAUCACCUGAUCAAACUUUCAGUACCAUUGUCGGGAUGCUUGCUUUAAACCAUAUAUGGACCUUUUUAAUCUGCAUACAAGUUGCUUUGAAUCAUUAGACUCAAAGUUCUCCUGUUGCACCAUGUAUAUUGUUUCAUCAAUGUUACCAUUAAGAAACACAGUUUUAACGUCCAUUUGAUGUAGCUCUAAAUCAUAAUGAGCUACAAGUGCCAUGAUGAUUCUAAAGGAGUCCUUUGACGAAAUUGGUGAAAAGGUCUCCUUAUAAUCAAUGUCUUCCUUUUGAGUGUUAUAACUGAUUUUGAAUGGACUAAAUUGUGUAGGCAGAAAGAUCAAGACCAAGUGCAUGAGUAUGUCUUUCGACAACUCUAACUUUAGUGCCUUGAGUCUAGUCACAAGAUUAGACAUUUCUAUAAUGUAUUCCCUUAUAUUCUCUUUCCCUUUAUACCACAUAGAGACAAGCUUACUAAGAAUAGUGCUUGUCUUAACCUUUUCGUUUGCAGCGAAUCGGUUUGCUAUCUGGUCCAAGAAUGCCUGGCUUGGGUUUCCUCAGGUAUUGCACCCUUUAUAGCUUCUGGAAUUGAGUGCUUCAUAAUCAUUAGACUCAUGCGAUUAGAUCGCUCCCAUUUUUCCAUAGUAGACCUUUGCUCAGUAGUGCUAGCACUAGUAAGAUCUGAAGGGUGAUCCACUCUUAAUGCAUAGUCUGAAUCCAUGCACCCGAGCACAAUUAUAACUUGCUCCUUCCAUUUCUUGAAGUUUAUGCCAUUAAGCAUAGGAAUGUUAUUGACAUUUGCAGAUAUAGAAGAUGCUGAAAUAAUAAUGAAGCUCACAAUCAGUCAUAUAAACAUCACACAUACAGGAAUAAAUAAAAUUUAAACAUAUAUAUGCAUGUGGACAUACAACAAGAUACCUAGCACAAACAUCAAUAUUCAGUCUUUAGACGAAAAUAUCAACUUGUAAUUGACAUCAUUUUACAAAUUAAUUCAUAAAUAUUGACAAUAAAAAAACCGAAAAUAAUAUGUUUGUCUUUGGACUAAUAUAUCGAAUGCAAGAUAAACCUUAUAUGUCACAUAUUCAUAAUUACUUUAUUUAUUAUUAUAUAAAAAAUAAUCCUCCUUUGGGUUGAUUAUUUUAUACAAUAAUAACAUGCUUACACAUUUCAAAAUAAAUAAAAUUAUGUAAUACAAGUUACUUUGGCAACAAAUAUACACAAUUCAUUUAUUUUAAAAUAUUAAACAUAAAUACAACAAGCAGUAAUUCAAUAAAAAAAAAAUUAUGCACAAACCCAUGUAUAUACGCAAUCCUAGAUAACAAUUCAUAACCAUUCAUAAGGCUUUAUUCAUGAAUGCAUGAUUUAGUGGCCCAUUUUUUUUUUUUUUUUUUUGCAUGAUUCAUAAGACAUUAAAAGGUACCUAAUUACUUUACAUGUAGCAUAUAAUAUAAAAUUCCCACAGCACAAAUAGGAGUAUAGGCAUUUAAUCCUCUAAUUAAUCCAUAUUUUAUUAUGGCAUAAUUUUAAAAACUUAGAAAUUUUAGACGUUGUAAAAGGGAUCCUUUUUGCAUCCAACCGACAGUGGGGCUAGAGUGAUCUUCGAACGACGCCAACGGUGAAAUGACACCAUAAUAGUGGGAAUUAGUGGCACCAACACGGCGUCGGAAUGGAUGCCUACAACGCCCAAAAUCGGCGCUUCUCAUUGGCAUCUGAAAUGCCUGAAGAACAGCGCCUGCACGCCAUCUAGAUCACCUUUAAACGGCGCCUAAAAUGGCGCUGCUCCAUUCGGUGUCAGCGGCGCAAGGCAGACGAGGCUUGCAACGCCUUCAAUCGCGCCUGAACGACGUAUGAACGCUGCUUGAAAAUGGCGCUUCAGCAGUGCCUCCAAAAUGGUGCUUCAAUGGUGUCUGAACGACGCCUCCAAUGGUACUUCAUAUGGCGCCUGAACGAUGCUACAAAUGGCGCCUCCAAUGGUGCCUCGAACGACGCCUGAAAAUGGCAUUUCCAAAGGCGCCUGAACGGCGUCAGAAUGGUGGGUGAGGCGAACCUUAAAUGGCGUCUGAACAGCGCCUGGUAUGGCGCCUAAAGACGGCGCCUGAAGCACUUGUAAUGGACGCCUGAAUGGCUCCUGUAACGCCUGUAACGUACGCUUGGAUGACGCUUGAAGUGCGUCUUGAAUGGCACUUGAAUGGUGCCUCAAAUGGUGCCUUUUGAAUGCCUGAAAACACCGUCGAAAUGAUGCCAAAACUACUUCCAUUUUGAACGACUGAAUGGCGUCCUAACGGUGCCUGAAAUUGCCCCAAUUUUUUUUUGUUGUUUCUGAUUUAAUACGAGUUUUUGGUGAAAAAUGGGGGGCUCUGAUACCAAUUGAUAAACAUUUUUUAUCUCCAUUAUCACCAACAAUAAAAACAGAAAAUAUAUCUAUACCAAGCGUUCAAAUUAUGCCUUCCACUAUUGUCUAAGACCAUACCUGAGUCCAUUAUUUUCCGGCAAUGAAUACAGUAUGGAUCUUCUAAGGCUGUGGAGGGCACCACCUUCUUUUUGAAUUCCCUCAGACGAUGGGAGCGAAAGAGAGACAGGUCUGUUCUUAUUCCAAAACUGAUGUCAUCUAUUAAUGAAUAGACACACGAUAUGGAUUUAUACCCUCCUGCCUUAGGGACCAUACCCUUUGGUUAUUGGGCCUCAUGAGUCUUAGGCCCAUCAUCUAAGGCCCGUGAAGGUUUGAGCUUUACACAUAAGGUGGCUCAUACUGUGGAAAACUGAUAUAAAAUAAAAUCAAAGACGAAUAGCUUAGUCAUGUACCUUUGUUAAAUAUGUGUGAGUCCAUAUCUUAACCGUUCAAACAUAUCAAAAUAAGAAAAAGGAAAACCAAAAACUGAGCAAACAUGCAAACAACUAGUUUUAGCAAAACCUUCCUAUGACUCUUAAUGUCCACACCAAACAUCAAAUGACAUCUGAUUGACAGAAAAGAAGAAGAAGGAAUGCAUGAUAAUUGAAAUGAACCGAAAAACUACGACAACCAUACCUAUAACAACUUCUCUAAACUAUGUUGACCAAGCUUCAAGCAAGUUGCAUCCCCUCCUAUAGCUGAUAAAAACACCAACCAUUCUUUUCUCUCAUUCAAAUGUCAUCUCCCUUAUUUUCCUUUCUAUUUUCCUUUUGUUUUUGGUAUCUCUCUCUCUCCCUCUCUCUCUCUUCCCGAGCUCUCUUUGAAUUUUUUCCUCUGUGUCUCUUUGUCCCUAUCUCUAUUUUUCCUCUAAAAAUCACAACCUUGUUUUUUUUCCUCAUCAGAAUCCUUCAUCUUGAAGGCUUCUCUCUAUUUCUUCGAAAAUCACAACUUGCUCUUUCCUCAUGCACUCCAUUUCCCACCAAAACUCUUUUCAUCUUCUCUUUCUUCGAUGAUAACUUUUCUUACCUUUAAAAAGUCUAGUGGAUCAUGCCUUCCAUUGAGAUGGCAACCCGUUUUCCUCAUGCAAAACAAAAAAAAUAAUAAAAAGUUAGCAACCAUUCAUUAAUAAAAUGAAGAAAUAAAAUUUGAGAAACUUAAAAGAAAGUAGGAUCUUAUAAUUAAAAAUUAAAAUUAUGUAAUUAAAACCAAAAUAUCAAUCAUAUGCACAUUAGAAAAAAAUAAGAUAUUAUUUCAUGCAACUUAAAAAGAAUUAAUUUCGUCAAACUCAUGCAAUUUUGUGAAAAUAAAUAAAUGAAUGGACUAACAAUAAAUAAAUAAAUAUCACGUAUGCAAUCAAAUCUAAAAAUUAAUAUAAUGCAACAAAAAAUAAUGCAAAACAGACUAUUGAACUUACACCACUAAAAAAAAAAAUGAAAAAACCAUCUCAAGUAAUCAAGAACCAAAAUCAAGUCCCAAGAUCGCCUAACCCUAAAAUCGGACAAUUAAACUUAAGAAAACAACCUAAGUGAACUAGGCUUACUAAAAUAUCUAAGUGGAACCUAUCCCAAAAAGAUCUAAGCGAGACCUAAAUUGAGCUCGAAAGAGAGCCAAGGUCACAAUAAGGGUCCCUGAAGGUGGCUUAGAAAAAGAAGUUGUAUGAGCGUUGAUGGGCCACCAAUAACUACCGUGGAGUUUUGAAAGAGCACUUAAUAGUGCAAGUACUAAGAGGACAAAAUGGAUGGUUUACAAAUCCCUCCUAUGCAAAGUUGCCAAAAUAGGAUUUAGGGUUUUGGGAAAUUUGCAAAGGAAACCAACGGAAAGUGAUUCAUUCUGGUACUACAAUCCAUGUUUCCAAUACCAUGCAAGGCUUCUUAAUAGGAUUGGAAGCACAAGCAUUGUGGUGUUGUCCUUGCCUCUUGAACUGGAGGCCGGUUUCUCAUUCCUCCUUCCCACGAAUCCUACAUAGGAAGGUCCGUAUCUCAGUUUUAACGACAGUAAGAUGGCAGUCUUUGACUGUCUCUGGCCCUUCACUAGACAAACACGUGUAUGAUGUUUUUAAAGAAGACACAUUUUGCCAAUUUUGGUGAAACUCAAGAAAAAAAUUUGAAGUUAAAAUUUAUGCAUGGUUGUUGCAACCUAAUCUUGCACGAGUUAAAAUUGUUAAUUAUUAUCCCAGUGAAGUCAAGAUAGAUAUGUGAGUAUCAUUGUACCAUUCUUAGCUUUUUAAAUCAACUCAUGUUUCACAAACAACUUUUAUUUGUUUCAAAUGAAAGAAGUCAACAUUUGUAAUUACUAUUUCAACAAACAACUUUAAUUAGAUUGAUUUCGAAUUGCAAUAGUGACGUAUUAAUGAUAACAUAAUUGAUAAUUUUAACUUAAUAUACAAAUUUGAUUGAAAAUAAAUUCGAUAAUUCUUGGAAGCUUAUUCACUCGAUUACUAAAUCAAUAGCCCAAGGAACAUAUUUAAGUAUAUUAAAAAGUCUGUUUAAUAGUGAUUUUAGGAAGCGUUUAUAAUAUUUUUAAUAUUUGAAAUUUUAUAUCAUUUAAGUAUUAAAAAUGAUAGAAAUGUUUCCUAGAAUUAUUGUCAAACACAUUCUAAAUCAAUUGCUAGAUUAAUAUGAAAGGGUAAUUUUUUUUUUUUGCAAAAUUUAAUUUCUUAAUUAUAUGAUCAUCAAAUAAAUAAAAGAUAAAAUGUUAUUAUAAAAAAAAUGAAAGCAAAAAUUUGAAAGAAUAUAUUGAUUAAACUUAAAAAAAAUACACAAAAUAAAAAAAUAAAUAAAUGAUUAUAAUAUAAAAGAUCAAGUAAAAAACAAAUAAAAAUACACAAAAUAUUUUUAUUCAAUUACAUAUUAUACCAAAUUUGCAGGACUAAAAUUUAUAAUAUUUUUCAAUGUUUUCUAAAUCAGAAAAGUUAUAUGUUUAUAAUUCACUAGUCGAAUGAAUGAUCAAACCAUGGGUGAUGUCAUAAUAUGUAUUUUAUAUUUAUUAAAAUUAAAAAUAUUUAUAAGAAAUUAAAAAUCAAUAAUAUUUAAUUUUCUUUUCAUCUUUAGUAUUAUCAAGUUAAUAUAUAUAAAUAUAUUAAUAUUUUAAAAUUUUGUUAAAUAAAAAAUAUAUAAUGUGUUGAAAGUUAUUUAAUUUACCUAACUAUAUAUAUUAAAAGUUAUUUAUGGCAGUAAAAAAUAUUAUAUUAUUUUAUUUAUAUUAUUUAAAAUUUUAUUAUUAUAAAAAUUUUGAAAAUGUUAUUGCUAUAUAAUUUGUUGUUGGGUGAACAUAGGCAAAAAAAAGCUGGAGUAGCAGUGUGGUGUUGUCCUUGCCUCUUGAACUGGAGGUCGGUUUCUGAUUCCUCCCACCCACGAAUCCCCCGUGUAAAGGAAAUAAAAUAGCUUUAUAAACAACGGGUCCAAAUCGGCAGCCUGGUCAGUUCAAGGACAGUACGAUGGCACUCUCGUGCUGCAUCUGCCGAGAAAGUAUUUUUGAAGAAAAAAAUGAUCAAAGCAGCUCUUCUCUUAAGAUAUUUACCAAACUAGUUUUCACUCUCACAUGAUUGGUAUGGGUUUAUGCACUUAAAAGAAAAAAAAAAAAAGUUGAAUUAAUGUUGUACGGAUAGACUAUUUUGACAAAUAUUUUCAACGUGAGAUUAGAUUGAUAAUUUUUUUUUUUUUUUUUUUCCAAAAAAACUACUUUUACCGGAAACCCGCAUCUGCCCACAAAAGUACACCACAGUUGUCUGAGAACUCUCUCUGCCCGUUCAUGUUUAUAAUAUUAGGACCCACUCUUAUACACAUAACUUGUAGCAUUCUUGUUCAUUCUGGCUUCCUUGCUGCGCAAAGAGUCCAACAAGGUGAGGAAGAAGAGGGGUAUGUGCUUACAGAUGCCUCUAGGCUCCUUCUAAUGAAUGACUCCUUGAGCAUAAGGCCCUUGUUGCUUGCCACGCUCGACCCAAUUUUAACUAAACCAUGGCAUUAUGUGAGUGCUUGGUUUCAAAAUGAUGAUCCCACUCCAUUCCAAACUGCUCAUGAGCGGCCAUUUUGGGAUUAUGCUGCC
rnacentral:lncRNA from 1 species